rnacentral:rRNA from 1 species
GACGUAGGGCGCGAGCGUUGUCCGGAUUUAUUGGGCGUAAAGAGCUCGUAGGCGGCUUGUCGCGUCGUCCGUGAAAACCUGCAGCUCAACUGCAGGCUUGCGGUCGAUACGGGCAGGCUCGAGUUCGGUAGGGGAGACUGGAAUUCCCGGUGUAGUGGUGAAAUGCGUAGAUAUCGGGAGGAACACCAGUGGCGAAGGCGACUACCUGGCCUGUUCUUGACGCUGAGGCGCGAAAGCUAGGGGAGCAAACGGG